rnacentral:lncRNA from 1 species
UCUCCAAGAAGGAGGGAGGCUGGUCCUAGUUCCCGAGGUCCUAGACUAGGUCUAGAUCACUGGGUAAAAGAAGGGGAGCGGCAGCACGUAUGGGGACUAAUCUGUCACGGCGGCGCCCUACCUCUUCUUCCGGCCCGGCUCGUCAUGGCGGCGCCCUGAGUAGCCACUUCCGCCCUCUUCUGGCUAAAUUGCUUCAUCCCUAUUUCCGGCUUGCCAUGGCAGCGCUCGGGGUUUAACGGAAGUAAGCAAUGGAAAGUAUGGUGGUGCCUCGGGUCCAAAGAGAAUGCGCCGCUGAGUUGCGCGGCACCUGACGGGAUUGAGCCUCAGACACAAGCGCUCCAAAUCUCCGACUGUAGCUGGUGGGAAGCGCCUGCUGUUGCUGCAGCGUCUCAACAUGUUGUUCCCAUUUUCGUUGGGUGCUGUAGCGGUAGGCUGUUGGGCUCAGGGAUAGGGGGCCUGAUUCCUAACGCCGCGCUGCCACCAUCGGCCUUGCGCAGACGCUGAUAAUCCCCCUGGCACCCAGAUCUUUCAAGACUCUAGUCAAAAUGAGCAGAACAUUUUGCAGUUAAUCAUAGAGUUGAAGAUGAACGAGAAGAUGAACGAGAGCUACUUGAUUGUGAACUAGUAACGACCACUUGGAGUCGCAGUGUGUCUGUAAAAUGAUGAUGACAGUGACAUCAUAGAGGACAUAGUGCAAGUGAACAGUUUGAUACUGAGCUUGGAGCCUCAGUAGUUCUGGAUAAGUGAGAGCUGUACGGGAGGUUGUAACCAUGAGCUACCCUGGUUGGCAGUUGACAUCCGAGGACCAGCACUGGUCAUCGCACAGAAAGAAAACUUUACACCUUGAGAUCCCUCCAUUCUUCUUAAACUUCCAAGUGUAUGUUUGAUGGGAGAAGAGGGGAAGGGAUCAACAUUUAAAGGCUCUGGAAGGAGUCAGAUAACUGUUUUUGGCUUCAAAUGUAGAAUGAAUCCCUAGAUUUUCCUCUACUGAGAGAAUGAAAUCUUAACCCAUUCCGUUCCCUUGUUGGUACUCAGAAACGGAUACCCCAAAGAUGCAUUUUGACAUGCUGAAAGGCCUUAGAAGCUGCCUUAGAAGAUCUGUCUAACCUUGUCUUGUUGGUGUGUGGAAGUGGGAAUGCCCACAGGUGCACAGGGAGGGAGUUUCUGAAAUUAUCUGACCGAGAAAGCAAAAAAAAAAAAUCAAUUGUCUUAAA